rnacentral:rRNA from 1 species
UACGGAGGAUCCGAGCGUUAUCCGGAUUUAUUGGGUUUAAAGGGUGCGUAGGCGGUUUGAUAAGUUAGAGGUGAAAUGUCGGGGCUCAACCCCGAAACUGCCUCUAAUACUGUUGGACUAGAGAAUAGUUGCGGUAGGCGGAAUGUAUGGUGUAGCGGUGAAAUGAUUAGAGAUCAUACAGAACACCGAUUGCGAAGGCAGCUUACCAAACUAUAUCUGACGUUGAGGCACGAAAGCGUGGGUAGCAAACAGG